rnacentral:misc_RNA from 1 species
GAUCCAACAUUCCAAGUACCAAUCUUGAUCCUCCUCCUAUCCUGUUUCUUCCUAAUUGGUCUUCUUCUAUGAUAUCUUCUAUGAUACACGGCUCAAAAUAUGUACUCUAAAAGACUUUGCCAAAAAAUUCAAAUCCCAAAGAAGAAAGGGCAAAAAUGUCCCCCGGCCCCAAACUUUGGGGAAGAAUUUUUUUUUUUUUUAAUAUGAUGCUACUGAUUUAAAAAUAAAUUGGCUGCCCUUAAAUUUAAAUUUUUUUAUAUUUUACAGGGCUACUUACCUAAUUAAAUUUAUAAUGACUUGUCCAAAAUAUUGAUUUAAUUUUAACUAUAAGUUAGAAUUUGAGUGGCAUAAAUAAAAAUUUUUAUUUCUAGUGUAGCCCAUAAUGCUUUUAAAAUAAUCCAUUUAAGAAAAUAUUAUCUCAUCUUUAUUUUAAAGGAAGUCCAAAAUCUCUUCUUUCUCUCACAAAGCUACAAGUUUUCUUAUAAAAAAAAAUACUAGAAACUUGGCUUCCUAGAUCCAAGCUUCCAAUUUUGGAGAGUUCUUUUUUUUUUUUUUCCAUCAUGUUUUCUUUGUUUUUCACUCUUUAAUGUUAUAAUAUCAAUAUAUUUUUGUUCUUGAUAUUCAUAAUGAGUUUUAGAAAAUUUAAUUUUAUAACUUUAAUUUUGAAAUAAUUCUAUUAAUUUUAUUAAAUUGGUACUCUAACAUAUUAUCACUCUUAAUAUAUAAUACAAAAGUUAUGAAGUGGCAAAAAAUAAAGAAAACUUUCAAAAUUGUGAAACCAUUUUUACUUCAUUCUUAGACAUUAGGUUAGU